UAUAACAAAGAGUUACAAAGAAGAUCAGAAACACACAGCGAGUGUUAUCAGCCAUGGAAGAUUCUCAUGAAAUCCUUCUGAAUGGCCUGGAGCAAGCAGGAAUCAAGAUCCCAAUUGGCGUAUCAUCAAUCCAGGAUUUAACAACUGGUGCUCUGGUUUCAAUUUGUUCUCAAUCUCUUCGUCUCAUCGAUAAUUCCUUUGUUUACCCAACUUCAUUGCCAGUUUCAAUGGCGGAGAGGUUCCGUCUCAGUACAACCCUCUCAGCCGCCAUUAAAGGGCUAGGGUACAGAGGGGAUCUGAGUUUCCAUCAAUUUCUUUACCCCUCUGAUGAAGACUCGUAUAAAUUGGUGAGGUUCUUGGUAGAGAAGUUGUCGAAAUCUUCUUCAAAUAAAGUUGGUGGUAGAAAGGGAGUUGGAACCAGGGUUAGGGUUGGAGGAAAUGACCGGAUUUCCACUGAAUUUAGCAGCUGUUUAAAGAAUUGGAUUGAAAAGGAGGAUACACUAAGUGAGGAUCAUGCAGUUCUAAGCCAGGUUAAAACCAAAUCAAGAAAUUGGUCCUCCGUACUGAAGAAAAAUGAACUACUGGAAUUGAAGGCUGGAUCAUCAGAGCCAUCAAAUACUGUUGUUGAGAAGGUUUUUGUUGGGGGUUCAUUUGAAGACCAUUUAAUUAGUGUUUUAAGGGAAAGUGCGACAUCCAAUGAAGCAUUGGAACCAGAGUCAUCAGUUUCUGAUGUGAAGCUGUCGGAGUCCUCCCAGAAGGAGACGAAUGUUGAACAUAUCAAGAAACUUGAGCUGAAGUUGGCUUCUCUAGUGGAACAAUCUUCACAAAUGAAGUUCACAGGUGGAGAGUUACAAAACCAAGUAGAGAAAUUGAAGGCUCAGGAAAGCACAAAUGUUCUAGAAAUUCAGCAGCUACAAGAGAAACGUGGGCUUUUGAAAGCAGCAGCAGAUAUGGCACUAGAUGACCAGCACCCUAAUGAGUUCUAUCUUGAAGAACUUAAUAAGAGAGUAGAAGCAAGGAAGCAAAACCUUGAGGAACUUCAGCUGCAAUGGGACUCUUUCAAGCACCCUCUGGAGGAGAGAAUAACGAGACUUAAGAACUCACUAAGUGCAAAAGAAUCUAAAGCGAUUGAAAAGCUUCAGUGCUUGAAUAAAAUUGAGCUGGAAACAGAGGCUGUGAUAUCUGAAACUAUCAAGAGAGAGGCAGAGCGCUUGGCCCUUUCUGAAAAGCUUGAGAAGAGGCCCAAAACUGCAUCGAGAGCUUCUUACAUCCAGCGUAUAACUGAGCUCACCAAGAACAGCAGGAAACAGGACAUUGACAUCGAGCGAAUAGUCGAAGAAACUCGGCAGCUCCAUAUAGAGAACAACUCCAUCCAAGACCGUCUCAAUCGCACAUACACUGUGGUUGAUGAGACUGUUUUUAGGUACCUCUGUGUGUGUGUAAAGCAAGACAUACUCAGUCUGACUUUAUUGGAACACGUACAUAUAUAGAAGGAAGAUAAGAGAUCGGUAGAAAUGAGUGUAGUCUUCCAUCAAAGGAAUAUAAUACCUUUUCAUUAAUUUAUUGUAGGGAAACUAUCAGAAAUAUACCUUAAUUUUCGCCUAAUUGGAAAAAAAACCUUCAACUUUCAUAAACUUCAUCCGGACCCUUUUUCCUCAAUUUUAGCAUUUUUGUUUACCAAAAUAGCUUUCACGAUAGUCGUAUUACCGUAAUGACUAUUGCAUUACAUUAUUUAAAGUACCGUAAUGAUAGAACCUUCACGGUAAUGCCACUACUGUGAAGGCUAUUUUAAUAAAAAAAAUGUCAAAAUUGAGAAAAAAGAGUGUGGACGAGGUUUAUGAAAGUAGAGGGUUUUUUUCCAAUUAGAUAAAAAUUAAAGUAUAUUUCUGAUAAUUUCUCCUUAUUGUAAGAGAGAAGGCAUGGAUUGGGGAAAGAGAAAGAGAAGGAGGGAUGCCAUGAAUGACCCUCUGAGGCAGCAAGCUUAUCGCCUUCUAACUGGCAUCCACGACAGCUUUGCUAAGAUAUCUGAAACCAUCC